UGCGCGGAACACCGACGUUGUGAUAUGGUAAAACGCGAGUGCCGCGAUCAUCAUCGUUCUCGCGAGCUCGUGACACGACCCGAACGAAGCUGAGAGAAAGGAAGCUUCCACAGAGCGGUGCCAUGUUGUUCAUGCUCUUGUUCGCCGUGGUGCUGAUGGUGUUUGGAGUCGUGGUCUUCUACAAGGCCCGGGCGGGUGGCCGCGAACUGUGGAACAGGUGCUGCGGAAAACAGGAAGAGAACGCGUGAGCCCCAAGAGGAGUCGGGAUGCCUCGGCGGUCGUUGUCCGGUCUUCUUCGUCGCUGCGACGCGCCGUGGGAGGAGGCGCCCGGUCGCCAACCGCGGCUGGGCCUCGGUUGUUUGUUGAUCUCUCCGUCCGCUGGCUGCGCCACGUUUUAUCGCCCCUUGAUCCUGAAGACCCAUCUGAGAGUUUUUUCGCCCAUGCAUUAAAAUAAGUUACACGGCAGCACACUUGCCGGCUGCCGCUUGCUUCCAUGCAUA
rnacentral:lncRNA from 1 species